AUUGUUCGUUCGUUUUUGUUUUCGUGGCACGGAGUGAUGCACUCACACUUAUGUAAAUCAAGAUCGCGAGUACCUAUGAUACACUGAAAAUACGCCACCCUUUUUUUCCAAGUGCCCAAACACUUGAAUGAUUCAAUUAAGCCGCAUCUUAGAUCUAAUUUGUUUGUGUUUCAAUUUCAAUCCAAUCCAUUAUUAAAUUCAAGUGUUUUGGCGAUUGACUUUUUGGUAUUUUUUGACACCUUAUUUUCAUUCGGGUGGCUCAAAAAUUACAAGUGUUUUGCUCAUGAAUUUGCCCCACUGUGUUGAACUAUUCAAAGUGAUGAGGAAAACACUUGAAAUUGAUCUUGUUUUGAUUUGAAAUGCAGGUUCGCGACAGCUUCAUGAGGCUUUGCUUUGUUUCCUCAUUUGAAAGUUUUGGCCGUCCGGUGUGUUCGUUUUUCGCAGACCGCGUGAGUUCGCUGCCGCUAUGUUCCAGUCCAGUAAAUUGCCUGCCCGGAUUGUGACCGUGAAGAUGAGCAUCGCCACAAGACUGCGUCCUCGGGCUCGGGCUCCGUAUGGCCAGCGGAAGGGCUUGGUCUCCCGGAUUCCCGGAUAGAAGCCAACUUUUGUGAUAAAGUUCCUUUCCGGACUAUUUGGAAGGAUGCGAAAGAGCUGCAGAUGCCGUACCAGGAAGCGGUGCCAGUGAGAAGCAAGAUUCGGAUGCAGGGGCCAAGCUAUGCGUCAUUCGGAUGGUCAAGGCACAGUUUGAGUCGAUGGAACCACCGCGGUUCUACCAAAGAGAAUUCCGCAUCAACAAGAAGAUUCUGCAGUGGCCUCCAUCUCCGCCGGCACCGGUGCUUCACUCGCCGACGCUGAGGAACCUCCCAGGAAGCAGUGGUGGUGUCGGGACAACCGGAUGAAAAAAAUUACAAAAUUUUUACACACCAAGUUGUUCUUGAAGUUAGAAAAUAAAAGCAGCCAAAAAAA